AGAGUUUGAUCAUGGCUCAGGAUGAACGCUAGCUACAGGCUUAACACAUGCAAGUCGAGGGGCAGCAUGUUGGUUGCUUGCAACCAACGAUGGCGACCGGCGCACGGGUGAGUAACGCGUAUCCAACCUACCCUUGUCCAUCGGAUAACCCGUCGAAAGGCGGCCUAACACGAUAUGCGGUUCACAGCAGGCAUCUAACGUGAACGAAAUGUGAAGGAGAAGGAUGGGGAUGCGUCUGAUUAGCUUGUUGGCGGGGUAACGGCCACCGAAGGCUACGAAUCAGUAGGGGUUCUGAGAGGAAGGUCCCCCACAUUGGAACUGAGACACGGUCCAAACUCCUACGGGAGGCA
rnacentral:rRNA from 1 species